rnacentral:lncRNA from 1 species
GAAAUGAUUGCAGGAAGAUUGGCAAUGUUGGCAUUCUUGGGAUUUAUAAUUCAGCACAAUGUGACAGGAAAAGGACCAUUUGACAACCUGUUGCAGCACCUUUCAGACCCAUGGCACAACACCAUUGUCCAAACACUGAGUGGAGGAAACUAAAAUGUUUGUUGUAUCCAAUGACAUGAAAGCCUAUGUUCUCUUCAUGUAAUCCUUAAUGGAUGAAUUUUGAAAGACAUUUUGGCAUGAUUGUUAACAUCCAUAAUCUAUUUUCAUGUACAGAGGAACUAAGAUGGUUUUGUAUUGUUAAUUAUAUUCUCAAGCAUGUUAACUAGUGUCCUCGGUGAUAUAGUCUUGUCGUUGGUUGGCUGUGAUAACGUUUUAUGCAGGUGUUUGGAUUCGAUCUUAGGUUUCCAUCCUUCCCCCUCUCCGUGUUUUAUCCGUGUGUUUGGAUUCGAUCUUAGGUUUCCAUCCUUCCUUC